GUGGGGAAUCUUGCGCAAUGGGCGAAAGCCUGACGCAGCCAUGCCGCGUGAAUGAUGAAGGUCUUAGGAUUGUAAAAUUCUUUCACCGGGGACGAUAAUGACGGUACCCGGAGAAGAAGCUCCGGCUAACUUCGUGCCAGCAGCCGCGGUAAUACGAAGGGGGCUAGCGUUGCUCGGAAUUACUGGGCGUAAAGGGCGCGUAGGCGGACAGCUUAGUCAGAGGUGAAAGCCCAGGGCUCAACCUUGGAAUUGCCUUUGAUACUGGCGGUCUUGAGUUUGGGAGAGGUGAGUGGAACUCCGAGUGUAGAGGUGAAAUUCGUAGAUAUUCGGAAGAACACCAGUGGCGAAGGCGACUCACUGGCCCAAUACUGACGCUGAGGCGCGAAAGCGUGGGGAGCAAACAGGAUUAGAAACCCGAGUAGUCC
rnacentral:rRNA from 1 species